AUCCAGAUGACGAGUCCCAAAUAGAACAAAAUAUACAUCAUGGAU
rnacentral:hammerhead_ribozyme from 1 species